UAAACAGCAAAACCCGGCUCUCUCGGAGCCGGGUUUUGCUGUUUA
rnacentral:sRNA from 1 species